rnacentral:lncRNA from 1 species
AUCUCAGGGCUAGAAAAAUUCUACCACUUCCCUCACCUCUAAGCAGAGAGAUGGCCAGGAGCCCCUGGGCAGCUGAGGGCAGGAGGAAGGGAAGAAGGCGGUGUGGCCGACUAGAAAGAACCCUUAACCAAACCAGGCUUCGAGACCACGGUUUCGGGCCCAGCUCUGCCCCUGACGAGUGGUGGAACCUUGGGCAAAUUACUCAACCUUCCUGCCGCUCGGUUUCUACUUCCUCUAUAAAACGGGGAUCUUACUAACUGCUCUGCUCGCAUCCUUGGUUGGUUGUGAGACAGACCUGGCCUAAGGCAUAAAGAUGAAGGUUCUCUGGACACUCCAAGGUGUCACACCAGUGCAGGCGGCUACCAGCGACAAGACAGAAGUCUUUACAAAGCUUUCUCGAGCUCUGAUCCCUGGUUCCUCUGGCUUGUCCCCUCACACUGACGUUUCCACCUUGAGUACUUCCCUAACUCAAUCUCUGAGCCUUGGGUAGUAUCCUGCCCCCAGCUCUGCAGAAUUGGUGUAGAACAUCCUAGAGCAUCUGGUCAGAGGCGUCGAAGAAAGACCAAAUAAAUAGACGUGGGGAGAAAUAAACAAAACAAUUUGACCCUGGGCUGCCUGCUCCACAUCCUCUACGAUGCAUCCAAAGACAAAGACUUCGCCCUCAAUGGCUCAUUUGCCUGCUUGGAGGGUCAGAGUGGCCCUCCCUGGGUUAGGAGUCAUAUUUUCCAUUUAUUAAAAUGAACAUCUGGCUGCUGUCUAAUACAGUGGGUGUACAGUCUUUGAACUCACGAUCACCUGUCAGGUAAUUCUGAUGGUAAAGCCACGCAGAAAAAGGGUCCCGGGCUCAUCCAUGCCACUGUGCCUGUGUGAAAGCAGGGGUCUGGCUCAGGGAAACUCAGCUGUCCUGGCUUCUGUGCACAUUCUAAUGGAGCAGGUCCACCGUCAUAAAGAAGAACUGUGAAUUAAUUUAAUCCAAGAAUCAGGGCGGGGGGGGGGGUCCUCAAGUUAUCUUGGGCCCCCGGAACAGGAAAGCCUGAGCUCCAGCUCACUCUCCAUACCCCCCCGCCCCUCUGUGUGACCUUGAGCAGGCCACUCAACCUUCUAAAACUUUGGCUUCCUCAUCUGUGAAGCAGGGAUAAUAACAAGACAUGCCCUGCCCAGCUCCCAAGGUUAUUGUGACAACCAAGUGAGAAAACAGAUGUGAAAGUGCUUUGCAAACCACAAAACAUCAUCCAAGUGCCAGGUAUCAGCUAGCAAAAGUGUCUUGAGAAUAACCCUCAACUCUGGAAGUUCUGAUUUAAUCCAUUAAUGGACACAUCCUACCUUGAUUUAAAAAGGAUUUAAGGUUUUUGGGUUUUUUUUUUUUUUUUUUUUUAAAUAGUGAAGCGAGGUCUUACUUUUCUUUGUUCCUCUGAUUUCUGCUUCAGAGCCUCAAAAAGGACGAACAGAAGCGUAUUGUGUUGCCUUUUAGGCAGAACCACGCAGCUCAGCCGCCUCACACUCACCCCACUUUCCUUCCUAUUCCCACUUCUUCUCGCAGCACCCGGAGCUGCAACAAGUUCGCCAAACCUGCAAAGCCUCCCCUCCUGGCCCCCAGUGGGUUGGAAGCCUAGGGCUCUUUGAAACUAGGUUUUCCUAAGAUCUCCAGGCCAAAGGCAUCCCCAUCACCCUGCCAGGAGGGUGCUGCCCUCGGGCAGGGGCGGGGGGACAGCAGGAGUUUCCAGGACACACAAGGGAUUAUUCUGCUCACAAAGGCUAUUUACCAAGUCAGCCCCACACAUCUACCAGGAUCCCGGUCAAAGAGCAGAGCGGAGCUGGGACAGCCUCCUGAAAGCGCUGCCUGGCAGACUUAGUCUUCUCUCUUAUUAGUCCCCAGGCAAGUUGCCACCGGGCUGUGGGGAGAGGCCUGUGCCUCAGGAAGAGGUGUGUGUGCGGGAGAGAAGCUGGAGGGGCUGGGCGAGGUUUGAGGCCGGCCAGGUCAAGUGGUCUCUCCCUCCUCCUCAGUUCUCCAACCUUCUUGGAUCUCAGACAAGCUCAGACCCAGGAUCAGCGGGCCUGGAACUCAGACCCAGACCCACCCGGGCUCGGCUCGAGGUGGGGGAGGUGAGCUCCCAUCCGGGCUUCUGGGGCUGGGCCUGGCUGGGAGUCACCAGCAGGAGCUGCCAGCUCCACUCAGCUCUGGGCUGUGCCAGGGGCUGCAAGAAGGAGGAGAAACCAAAUGAGGGGGAAAGCUGGUGAACCCCUCUUUCCAAGGCAAAAAUGCAAUGCACUCAGCCCUCAUGUACCUACCUUCCCACCGUGCAACCGUUUAAAUUUUUUUAAAAUCGAAGUGUGGUUGAUUUGCGAUGUUUCAGGUACACAGCAAAGUGAUUCAGUUCCAUAUACAUAUACUUUUCAGAGUCUUUUCCGUUAUAGGUUAUUACAAGAUACUGAAUACAGUUCCCGGUGCUACCCAGCAGAACUUUGUUGUUUACUAUACAUCUGUUAAUUCCAAACUCCUAAUUUUUCUCUCCUCCCCUUCCCCUGGGGGAACUGUAAGUUUGUUUUCUAUAUCUGUGAACCUAUUUUUGUUUUGUAAAUAAGUUCCUCUAUAUAAUUUUUUUUUCUUUUUAGGGUCGCACCUGCAGCAUAUGGAAGUUCCCAGGCUAGGGGUCCAAUCAGAGCUGCAGCUGCCAGCCUACGCCACAGCCACAGCCACAUGGGAUCCAUGCCUCAUCUGCGACCAACACCGCACCUCGCAGCAUCCUUUAACCCACUGAGUGAGGCCAGGGAGCGAACCUUUGUCCUCAUGGAUCUUAGUCGGGUUCAUUACCAGUGAGCCACCAGGGGAACUCCUGUAUGAUUUUUUUUAGAUUCCACAUAUAAACAACUACCAUUUAGAGAGAACAUCUAUGUACAGGACGCUCCAUCUUUCACAAAGCGGGGCAUCAGGCUCACAUUACAGACAAGAAAACAGCUUGGGAGAGGAGUAAACUGCCCAAGAGAAGAAAGUGACGAACGCUGAUGAAGAGGGACGGUGCUCAGCAUUACAAACACCUGCACAGGUAUUUCACUUGUAUUAGUUCAUGUGCUGUAUCGAGCUUGUUCAGGCAUUACUGGAAUAGUUUGAAGAAUUUUUUUUUUCUUUUUAGGGUUGCACCCGUGGCACAGGGACGUUCUCAAGGCUAGGGGUCAAAUUGGAGCUGUAGCUGCCGGCCUACACUACAGCCACAGCAACGCCAGAUCCAAGCCACACCUGCUACCUACAGUGAACGCUGGAUCAACGCUGGAUCAACCCACGGAGCAGCCGGGCCUUACUAUCCAUAAGGAUGCGGGCCCACACACAUCCUUAUGGAUACUAGUUUGAUACUGCUAAGCCACAACUGAAAUGCCUGAAGGAGUUUUUUUUUUUUUUUUUUUUAAAGAUACGUUGCCAGUCCGUGGUGGGGUCUAUAUUUAAACAGACAGGUCCAAUUCCAGAAUAUGCUCUCUGGCCACACAUCACUUGUCCAAACCCAAACCAGGAUAUGGAUGCUGACAAAGACUAUUUUUCUAACAUUAUUGAUGUGAAAAGUUUUAUGAAAGAA